AUUGAACGCUGGCGGCAGGCCUAACACAUGCAAGUCGAACGAGUGGCGGACGGGUGAGUAAUGUCUGGGAAACUUCCUGAUGGCGGGGGAUAACUACUGGAAACGGUAGCUACUACCGCAUCCCCUCGUAUUUGCCCAGAUGGGAUUAGCUAGUAGGUGGGGUAAAGGCUCACCUCGGCGACGAUCCCUAGCCGGUCGGAGAGGAUGACCAGCCACACUGGAACGGAGACACGGUCCAGACUCCGACGGGAGGCAGCAGUGGGGAAUAUUGCACAAUGGGCGCAAGCCUGAGGCAGCCAUGCAGCGUGUAUGAAGAAGGCCUGCGGGUUGUAAAGUACUUUCAGCGGGGAGGCGUUACCCGCAGAAGAAGCACCGGCUAACUCCGUGCCAGCAGCCGCGGUAAUAC
rnacentral:rRNA from 1 species